rnacentral:rRNA from 1 species
GACGAACGCUGGCGGCGUGCUUAACACAUGCAAGUCGAACGGAAAGGCCCUGCUUUUGUGGGGUGCUCGAGUGGCGAACGGGUGAGUAACACGUGAGUAACCUGCCCUUGACUUUGGGAUAACUUCAGGAAACUGGGGCUAAUAACGGAUAGGAGCUCCUGCUGCAUGGUGGGGGUUGGAAAGUUUCGGCGGGUGGGGAUGGACUCGCGGCUUAUCAGCUUGUUGGUGGGGUAGUGGCUUACCAAGGCUUUGACGGGUAGCCGGCCUGAGAGGGUGACCGGCCAAAUUGGGACGGGGAUACGGCCCAGACUCCUACGGGAGGCAGCAGUGGGGAAUAUUGCACAAUGGGCGGAAGCCUGAUGCAGCAACGCCGCGUGCGGGAUGACGGCCUUCGGGUUGUAAACCGCUUUCGCCUGUGACGAAGCGUGAGUGACGGUAAUGGGUAAAGAAGCACCGGCUAACUACGUG